rnacentral:sRNA from 1 species
GUUUGGAUAGCUUUUUGUUUGGAUUCUGGCUCUGGGCACAGGGAAUAACACUACUUUCUGAGGACAGUAUCAGGAUUGUCUGUAGUUCCUGUGAGCCUGAGGUGCUGCGUGUGCCCACCCCCGUGUACAGGCCCUGCCCCAGCCACAGCCCACUCACCUUUUGACCCUCCUGCUCUGCCUAUACAGUUUGAAUACCAGCAGGCUCAGCUGGAGGCUGAGAUCGAAAACCUCUCAUGGAAAGUGGAGCGUGCAGACAGCUAUGACAGAGGGGACUUGGAGAACCAGAUGCAUAUAGCGGAGCAGCGGAGGAGAACCCUGCUGAAAGAUUUCCAUGACACCUAAGUUGGGAUGUGGAUGUGCCGGGGUGAGGAAGAUGUGGCUGCAAGGUCUCCCGGCUGCCAUACUGCAUGCUGCAGGCUCUGCCUUUCAUGACCCCAGGCAACAGCCAGGGCCCCACUCCUGAGAGACACUGGCAACACCUCUUAGUUGAUUUC